rnacentral:lncRNA from 1 species
AUUGAUUCUGUACACAGCCAGACCCUAGUAGCUGCCACACUGCCUUAAAGAAAGAUCAUCCAUCAGGGUACUUCAACUGUUCAAUUUGACGAUAGCAUUUGCAUUUAAAAUUCACAACUUUGAAGCCCUUUUAUGCCUAACCCCAUGGACAGAAUGGUUCAGAAACAUGGAGUUCAAAUUUACACAUGUUAAAACUCUACUUAUGAAAAGCAUACGAUGAUCCAAAAGCCCAUAUGGGUGAAAAGUGCAUCAAAGUAAAUCUCAGAACUCUGAACCACAAAAUGAAGGUAAGUAGCUGAACUUCAACAAAAAUCAGUAAUGACCUGGUGAUG